rnacentral:rRNA from 1 species
AAUAUGGGAAAAGGGGCGAAAGCCUGACCAGGCCAUCCCCCGUGUGGGAGGAGGGUCUUCGGAUGGUAAAGCCCUUUGAGGUGGGAGGAAGGGUUGUUGAUUAAUACUCUACAAUUGGGACGUUACCGGCAGAAUACGCACCGGAUAACUUCGCUCCAACAGCCGCGGUAAUACGAAGGGUGCAAGCGUUAAUCGGAAUUACUGGGCGUAAAGCGAGCGUAGGUGGUUCGUUAAGUCGGAUGUGAAAGCCCCGGGCUCAACCUGGGAACUGCAUCCGAAACUGGCGGGCUAGAGUACGGUAGAGGGUGGUGGAAUUCCUUGUGUAGCGGUGAAAUGCGUAGAUAUAGGAAGGAACACCAGUGGCGAAGGCGACCACCUGGACUGAUACUGACACUGAGGUGCGAAAGCGUGGGGAGCAAACAGG